UCAUGCGGAUAAGGUCGGGAAGGCUAUGCGUGUUUCGUUUCGCCAUCAGAACAGAGUAGUUAAGCCCUCUUGCGCCGAUGGUACUGCUUGGGUGACCUUGUGGGAGAGUAGGACGCUGCCGGGG
rnacentral:rRNA from 1 species